CCUACGGGGGGCAGCAGUGAGGAAUAUUGGUCAAUGGACGCGAGCCUGAACCAGCCAUGUAGCGUGAAGGAUGACUGCCCUACGGGUUGUAAACUUCUUUUGUACAGGAAUAAAGUGAGGCACGUGUGCCUGUUUGUAUGUACUUUAUGAAUAAGGAUCGGCUAACUCCGUGCCAGCAGCCGCGGUAAUACGGAGGAUCCGAGCGUUAUCCGGAUUUAUUGGGUUUAAAGGGAGCGUAGAUGGUUUGUUAAGUUAGUUGUGAAAGUUUGCGGCUCAACCGUAAAAUUGCAAUUGAUACUGGCAGUCUUGAGUACAGUUGAGGUAGGCGGAAUGUGUGGUGUAGCGGUGAAAUGCUUAGAUAUCAUACAGAACACCGAUUGCGAAGGCAGCUUACCAAACU
rnacentral:rRNA from 1 species